rnacentral:lncRNA from 1 species
CUGGGUAGAGCCCAGUGGAAGACAAAGAAGACUCAAGGAAUAGCCCUUGAGGGCUCAGGAGCUAUACAGAUGGGAUAGAGGGUGUGAGUGCUGGGAAGCCCCAUCCAUGGCUCGCUGGAGAUUAGAGGCCUGUUAAUCUGAAGACAAAGGAAUGAAGACGAAAACGUUUCUGAAAAUGUGGGUGGAGACACCUGGGCCUUUACAGGGUACGCUCACUGCCCGCCUUCUCGGAUUCCUCGUUCCCUCUGGGGAUUGGGCUGGGCCGGAGUGCCAGGACCCCUGCCCUGGGGGGCCCAUUCCUCCACCCACAGAGGGGCCCUGGGAAGUGUUGAGAGGGUGAGAGUGGGUCCUGAACCAACUUUGAAGGCAGAGAAGUGGGCUAGAAGAAGUGGGGUUGGAGCCUCC